rnacentral:tRNA from 1 species
GUUUCUAUCGUCUAAUGGUUAGGACGCUACUCUUUCACAGUAGAAAUACGGGUUCAAAUCCCGUUAGAAAUA